rnacentral:rRNA from 1 species
CGCGUAGGUGGCGAAGUAAGCGAGAGAUGAAAUCCCAUGGCUCACCCAUGGAACUGUCUUUCGAACUGCUUUGCUUGAGGGCGGGAGGGGGAAGUGGAAUUCCUGGUGUAGCGGUGAAAUGCGUAGAUAUCAGGAGGAACGCCGGUGGCGAAAGCGACUUCCUGGCCCGAUCCUGACACUGAGGCGCGAAAGCUAGGGGAGCAAACAGGAUUAGAUACCCUGGUAGUCC